CAAUAUUUAUAUAAUUUAUAUAUAAAUUAUAUAAGUGUGUAUUUAUAUAGCACACUUCUUUCUUUUGGGAAGUUUCCACUUCCUGUUAGCAGAUUUCUUCAGCAGGUGUCCCAUGGCUCUAUCAUCUUCAACAUUUUUUGGAUCUCCAAGGCAAUAAGGCUUCAACUUCACAGAUUCACACAAUGUCAUUUCUAGGCCUCCAUUCAGGGAGCCUCUAAAACAUGCCUUGCAAAACGGGAUUUCCAUAGUCGUGGAGGUAGUUUCUAUACCACUUUUCUUCUAUCCUUGACUCUAAAGCCAGAGCCAUGUGGCUGAAACUGCUAGUUUCUGCUGCUUGCUGGGGCUGAACAGAGCCCCCACACCCAUUCAAUUAUAGCUUCACUUGUUUUUUGUUUUCCAUGGUUUCCUUCAUUGCCUAAGAAUGGUGUCAGUGAGUGGGAUGACCCCAUGCCCCAAGGAUUCCAGAGGAAGAGAGAAACCUGCUGCCACAGCCUGAUCUAUCCAUGUUGGUGGUGCACGCCUUUAAUCCCAGCACUGGGGAGACAGAGGCAGGUGGAUAUCUAUGAGUUCAAGGCCAGCCUGGUCUCCACAGUGAGUGCCAGGAUAGGCUCCAAAGCUACACAGAGAAACCCUGUCUCAAAAAAAAAAUAAAAAUAAAAUAAUAGAAAAGCCACCUAAAGAUGAAAAAUACACAGAGUCUGGAUACUAUAUGCUAUAUUGUCUUUAAAUUGUUUGAUUGCCAAAGAAAGACUUACUGCUGCUAAAAUACAUUUGAUUAUUAAUGCUGCUAAAUUAAUCCAACUUACACAUUUUAAAAAUGCUUUGACUUCAAAAUUUAAGUCUAAGGACAGGCUACUUGGAAAAAAGUUUUUGCUUGUGUUUUCACAGAAAAAUCAAAAGCUGUGGAUUCCUUCCACACUAAUAUGGUUUCAUCAAGCAAGACUCCCUGAAGCUGAGACGAUACAGCCUUACAGAAUACAAAAACAAGGACUUGUGAGACACAACUGCUCCUGGCUCACCAAUUACAUCAGAAAGGAGGAUGGGCAUUGAAGAAACUUGUUAUGGAGUUUGCUUUCAACAUGGCAAGAUUAGCCAUUUGGGCAAGAAACGGUUCUUGCCUAGACUGUUUGUUGCUGUAUAAACUGGACAUGCAAGACCCACAAGAAAGUGACUGUUGAACUUACAAAACAAGAGAGUACUAAAGGGUUCCUGUUGAAAUGGAGAAGUGUGCCAGACACACUGUGGCCUAUAGGCUGAAGAUGGAUGCCCCAAGGUUACAGAGGAACUUUGGGUGACUGUCCAGGUCUUUGACAGGUAACCACCACUGCUGUCAGUUCCUGGAUGCAAUGGACUUGUCAUGUUCCAAAGACUUUAUUUGGGAGCUGCCUUCCACAUGUUCUGUAUCAUCCAGUCUUCCUGCCCUCUGCCAUGAUAUCUUCUGAGCCUUGAAGAGAAGGCCUAUGAUGCAAAUGUCUCAAUUCAAGCUGAUUUUGGAAUGAGAGAUUAUAUUGAACUAUCUUGAUAUGUGCAGGUUCAUCAUAUCAUAAUCAUCUUUAUAAAUAUAGGAAUGAAGCCAAAUGUCAUAGUUAGAGUGAGAUUUGAGAGUACUGGAUCCCUGACUCCAAUAUAGAGGAGUGAGCUGUGACCCUAGGAACAUAGAUGGUUUCUAAAGGAUUCUAAAGGCAAUUUCUCUAGGAUCAGAUAAUGGAUGACAGAAGACGACCAAGUCUUGCCUAUCCAGCAGUAUUAUGUGAUGUCUUCAAAGGCAAAGGUAUUAAAUGCCUACAGAAUAUGGC
rnacentral:lncRNA from 1 species